UCCCACUUCUCCAAUCAGCCCUGCAGUCACCUGGUCUCUCCCCACCUGCACCUCAUUCUCCAGUCUGCUUGGACUCGUGCUUCUCCUUUGUCUCUCUCUCAGGUCAUCUGCUUUAGUUGCUGCUGUGUUCCUGUGCUCUCAUUCACUGUUACUGGAUUACCUGUUUUUUGGAUUUGUGUUUGCCAGGUCGUCCUACCCGUCUACUUAUUGCUGUGCCAUAGCUGCAUGUCAGCCGGCUGUGCCCCCCCCUCCCCCCCCACCGUGGGUAGUGAUGGAGGCUCUCUGACUGUGAAGAACGCGUGUAAAACGUGCCGAUGACCAUCGAUGCCCCUGAGCAGCUGGAGGAAGAGGGAGAGUGAGACACACAGAGGGAAGUGGGGUCGGAGCAACGUGCCUCCCAUGCUAACAAUGUUCUCGAGCCAACAGAAGCGCAUCCCUCCAGGCAGCCCGUGUAAACAGUGCACACCAUCUCUAAAUCACAUUCACACCCUCAGAGACUUUCUGGGCUCUCUGUCCCUCUUCACACCUCCCUCCCCUUUUGUCUGAGGGCUGAGGCAGCAUGGUCAGUUGGCUCCUUUUGCUGAUGCCAGUAACAAGUGCUUUUUGUCAUCUGAAGAUUUUGGGUUUUAUUUGUUUUGUUCUGUGGGAGUCAGUGCUGUUUUUUAGUCAUUGUGUGGGUGCAAUUAUUUUGGUUAAGCCUUUAAAAACAUAGAAUUUGUCAGGAUGUGACAUUUUUUCUAACAUCAUACCAUCUAUCAAAUAUGAUUUUAAUUCUUUUGUACAAUCAGUCACUACAGUACUGAUAACGUUAGUAUUCCACUCGACACAUCUCCUGUUCCCAUAUGUAUAGUCCGAACCCUAUAGGUUGGCCCUGAGACAGCUGUGUGCAGCGAUAACUUCUGUCACAUAAUCAAAGCUAAUCCAUAGCUGCAAGGCAACUCCUCAUAUCUUACUUUAGAGCAAAGUGGAAAUAAAAGAUCCAUCAAUGAGCAAAUGUCCCCAAGUCGAUUUUGGUCAACAGAAAUCAAAGGGAGAGAGGAAGAAGAGAGGGAGGAGAUAAAGGGGACUACCACAGACUCUUUCUUGCUGUUAACCCCCACCCACCUCCUGUCCCAUUGGCCUACCCAACUGUCAUCUCACUCUGGGGUACAGCACAGCUCUGCCAACAGCUUUCUUGUCUUGUUCCAUUGAUCCAUUUUAACACACGGUGGUGAAAGCAUCAAACGCUGUGUGCCAUGCAGGAUCCAUACCCCCCUCCCUUCAUGGUUUUCAAAGGAAAUGAUGAAGGCAUGAAAAUAUGAAAAUGCUCUUCACAGGGGUCUGUGAAGGAGGCAAUUUCCAUCAUGCCCAUGUCUAUUUCCUAUGUAGAGGAAAAUAACACAUUUCUCUGAUGUUCCUGCACACAGAGCAGCAGUGACUCUACUUCUGCCGAAGCUUACAGAGAGGGUAGAACAGAUUGGGGGAGUAUUAAAUUACUGAGGAGGCUGACUUUUUUUUAAAACUCUUUAUUUGGUUUACACCCCUGGGGUAUGUAAUCAUAGCCACAGCAAAUCCUUGGAUUGGCUUAUUAGCAUAUUCAUAUAUCCUGAGUUAUUUGUUCACAUAAAACUUUGUGGUUGUCCUUGAUAAGCAUUUUUAACUGGUUGUUUGAUUACAACACAGUGGUAUAUACUGUACACAGAGGACAGGCGACACCGAAGAAGCAGCAGAAGUAGAAAAGACAUUUUUUCCCCCCUUUUUCCCUGGCAGGUUUUGAUUCUGGGUGUUGGAAAAUGAGAAGCACAUGUUUAUACAUAAAAUGUAACCCUCAGAGUAGAGAUUAUGUUUACACAUUAUGGCAAGAUUUGUGCUUUUUUAUUGCGUUAAAGUGCAAGAUUUAUCCUGGGCAUUCACUUCAAUAAAGAAUGGAUUUUAUGAGACCUGUUUACUGUGC